rnacentral:lncRNA from 10 species
CGGAGUUUCACCAUGUUGCCCAGGCUUGUAUCGAACUCCUGAACUUAAGCAAUCCACUCGCCUCGGCCUCCCAAAGUGCCUAGGAUUACAGGCUGAAUAUUCUGAACUGGUCGAAACAUUACUAUCAAGUCAGCAAGACCCAGUUAUUUACCAGAGAUUAGCAGAUGCCUUCAACAAGCUCACUGCAAGCAGCACUCCUCCUACGCUGGAUCGGAAGCAGAAGAUGGCCUUCUUAAAGAGUUUAGAAGAAUUUAUGGCAAAUGUUGGUGGUCUCCUUUGUGUAAAAUAAACAACAGAACUUUAUGCUUAAUUUAGAUCCUUUCUGCAAAGUGCACUGAAUUGCUGAAAGUUGACUUGAGUCUUGUCCUAUUCCUCAGUUCAUUUGGCCAUUUUGGAUUUUGGAGAGCCUGAAACUUUGAUAUGUAUGUAAUACAGUGAAACAGGAGAGGUCAACUUGGCAUCAGCUUCUGCUGUUAAGUGUUAGCCACAAUCUGUCAUAUAUAUGUCUUUUAGAUUCUGAAUGGUGAUUUAAAAUUUUCAAAAUGAAAUUCCAUAUAUGUGCAAACAGAUAUGGGCACCACGAAAUACAUAUGCAGUGCCUUUUUUCCUUUUAACAUAGGUGGCUAGCCAAAGUUUAGAAUUUUUGUCAUUAAAUAUGAAAUGGAUAUAUGCUAGGCAGUGUUUCUCAAAAUCUCCAUAGAUCGCCUGCAUCACUUGAGGAGCUGGUGAAAAGGCAGAUUCUUAGGCCCAACUGUAGACCUUCAGAGUCAGAAUGUCUGGUUGUUGGGCCCAGGAGUCUUCAUGUUAAUAAGCUUCUCCCUUUCGUCACCCCAAAAGUUUUGAAUCAAUGAAAGAGACAUUGAAAACUCUUAAGAGGUUUUGUGCUUUCUAGCUUUUCCUCCCUUUGAUGAUUGGGUUUUAUAAUUCAGCAGGAAGGGGAAACAUCACCAGGGGUUUGUUGGCUUUUUCUUAGCUUGCUUUCUUGCUUGCUUGCUUUCUUGCUUUUCUUGCUUUCUGUCUCUCUCUUUCUUUUCUCUCUCUCUCUCACAUCAACCCAGUGCUGCAGGUUUUGUGUAAUACAAGUCACUAAUCAUACUCUGAUGCCUGAACUUGAGGAGGAAAAUACAUGUAUAUUUUUGUUCCGUAAAAAUAACCUUAGGAACUGUAGCCAUUUCAUUGCCUUAAUUUUAAGAGGAAAAUACAAAAACAGCUGAUUUGUUUUAGUAAGAAACCACGUCUUGAUGCUUCAGAGUUGGUUUAGGGUGUUAGCUGCUAUGAACCUGUUGCCCCUUUCGAUCGUGUAUUUAUGUAGGUUUAUCAGUGAAAUGAAAGGCUUGUUUCCGUCUAGUCUAACUUUUUGAGUGUGUUUCUAUCCAGCCACAUAGCCCAUAUCUACUCUAAAUGGCUUGCUUAAGCAAUAAUUAUUUUAAAGGAUGUGAAUCACUGAUUCACACAGACUAUUGCACGUUGGGGCAUUAGGGGCAAUAAUUCUUAUCCAGACAUGGGAGCCAGUGAAUUUAAUUUCAGAGAUUAAAAAUUCACUUUAGAUCCUCUAGUUUGAUCUCUUAAUCAGGAUUUUUAUACAGCUGCCAGGCUCCCCUAAUUCAGUGUGCCAGCUUACAAUGUGGAAAUGAAAGCUAAUUUAUACACAGCAGGCAUAUGAAACUCCACUCAUUGCAGUACUUUCACAGCACAGUGACAGGUAGAGGACUCUGGCACAGGUGCACUCAUGAAACUCUGCUUCCACCAUGUUCCUGACACCUAUCUAUUAAACCAUUCUGCAAAUACGGUUUUUCUACCUGAUUGCAUAUAGCAUAUGUGUCAUUACAUGUGAUGCUGUGCAAAACUUUGUAUAAUUCUGUGUUAUUAACAGUUAACAAAACUGGAGCAUCUGAAUUACAUCCAACCUGUGCAUGUGAUGUUAGGUAGAUGUGAAUGCAGGGCCUUGGGCCAUAACUUACAUUUCUCUCAAUUUGAUUAGCUUUGAGUCACAAUUAAGGGGAAGCAAAAACAUCUUGAAAAGACUGCUAGGAAGGAAAUUAAUAUCAGUCAUCCAGAAGUACACGUUUCUGUAUUUUAAAAAAUACUUUGAUGCAUUUAUUUUUAGGUGUUUUUUUUUUCCCCUUAAAAAACUUGAAGUGAUAUGCAGCAGUAAUCUAUUUGUUUUGCAUUGUUCUUGGUGUUUUGUGUUUCCCAGAUCCCUCAAGCUUUCUCAGCUGUUGUGAAUUAUGUGUAUCUGUGUGUGUGCUAAGUACAGUCUCUUUACCAAAGGGCACUGAAACACACAAUUGACUGGACAGGUCCACGCGCCAUGACAAAACUAUAAUCAAGUUAUUAAAACUAAAGAGGAGUGGGAAAGGAAUGCCUUGGUAAGUAAAAAGGCAUCUAUAUUUAAUAACUUUUAUCCAGAUGGCAACAUAUUUGCAAAAUUUGCCCAGAUCCUAUUACAAUACUAAAAAUAGAAAAUUUCACCUCCAUAUUCCUGAGGUGUAAUUUCAUUAGACUAGUUUUAGUUUAAAAAGACCUUCUUCAGAUUGGACCAAAUAAUACUUAUAAGAUCAGCAGAAUGUUGAAUAUUAGCUCACUGGGGUGGGGAGAAGCCACUACCAUUUUUUAGGUGAUGGGGAUGCCACUGAGUUGCAACGGCUAGACCUUUUCAGGGUGGUUGUGUCCAUGUUUGCCUGAUUGGAUGCUUAUUCACUUUGUGUUUUCUUUUGUUUUAUUUUGUCCAAUUUUGUCUUUAGCUGUGUUUAUUAACUUCUCCGGUCUUGUUUUGUUUUAAUGCUCUUGGCCCAGUGGGUGUCAAGAACACUGGCUUAAUUCAAGUCAGUUGAUUUUUUUUCUAUUAAAACUGUUGUUAAAAUAUUUUUUAAAACAAAAACAUUAUUUGUGCCCUCUUUUAUAUAUGUCAAAGGGACACUGUCAAGUAUUUCAUUUUUAGAUUUUUGUUUUAUAAAAUUUCUGUUGUUCAUAUAGUAUCCUUUAACCUCUAGUUUUCCAUACAUCCUUUGUUUGUUUCUCAUUUUAUUUUCCUUGACCCAUUUAUUUCCCAAGGCACAAUCACUAAAGACUUUGUACUUUCACAGUCUGUUAAUGUGGUAGCACCUGUAACUGUGUUCUUGUUCUGUUAAAAGGAUUGAUUUGCUUUUAUAGUCCUUGUGCUGGAUGAGUGGCUGCCUCAGUAGCAAAACUACCUGACAGUAUUUGACAGUGUCCUUUCCAGCACCAUUAUUUGGGUCUUUCAGGGUGGCCAUCUCUGUUAGAAGACAGUAGCAUGUUAACAUCACUGCAUUGAGUUUUUGUCUGGUGUAAAGUAUGACUUUUAAUGUAAACAAACUGCAGGUUUUUUUCAAACUAAUUUUAAGAAUUUAGUCUUAUUUCGUUGUAAACUGUGUAUCUAAUUAUAUUACAUUACUCUGUUCAGAUGGGAUGGUUACUACCACUUGUCCAUGAUUUUCAUUUGAAAAGCAAGUAUCUAUAUCAUUUCCCCCCAGUCAGCAUUAUUUAACACUCCCCUUAACUGUCUUUGAACUUUCUCUUUUAACAAAAAUGUCAAGUCUUUAUAGUUGUAAUAUCACCAUGUUUCCCAUUUCUGUUAAUACUUCUAUGAACCCCUAAAGUAUUGAAGGGAACUAGCUGUCAGUUUCAAGGAUUACAAGUUUGAGUCUCCUAGUAUUCAACAUCAUUCUGAACCCUGAAAUAAUAUUUUUCUCUGUUAAACAAUUUUUAUCUGUUUGCCACCUCUGUUGUUAGAGGUGGUUGUCAAUUGACCUUACUAAGUUAGCUGUCUUUGAUGAGGAAUUAUUGUUAUUGGUUCCUGAAUAAAACAUUAACCUUUUAAGUCAGAAGGAACCUCGGUACUUCUUAAGGUUUGUUUGUGUUUUCUAAAACCAGAGAAUAAGGAACUGAUUUGGCUAUGAGGUUUAACAUUAUAAUUUUCUGUAAGCUUUCCCACAAAAAAACAUUGUUGAUUUGAGGAUAUAAUAAUGUUUUAAUCUUUUUAAAAUAUAAGUGGUUAUUCUCUGACUUGGUAACUAUGUUCUGAAAACACUGCAUUUAAGAAUUUUUAAAAAUUGGUUUUCUAAAAUUAAAAUGUCCAAAUUAGGCAUAUUGCUGAGCUCAAAUUGAUGUGAAAUGCCAUGGUUCCAGUUGAAUUUUAAGCAUAUUUUCAUUUAGAUAUAAAAUAUAUGAAGUAUGCUUUGUUGAUUAUAGUGAGAACCCAUGACAUAGUUAACCAAAGAAUAUGUUUGGUUCAAAUAAAAAUAGAAGCUUAAUACUGGGCAUUCAUACUUUUUAAAGAGAAUGAAUGAAGAAAUCGGUUUCCUGCUGUAGUUCUCUAUGGGUAAGUCUUAGUAAAGACGAGAAUGCUGAAGUCGGCCGUGGCGAUUCCCUCCUAGGAACUGGGAGGUGUGGCUUGCCCAUUACCCGCUUGAAGCUCACAUCUUUACCCUCCUCUCCCACUGUGGUUUGAUCUUCACCUAUUCCCAGGCCCUCCCAGCAAUUGGAGAGGUGUCUUUUUUUUUGGUUUUGGUUUUUUUUCUCCCCGUCUGCAUUCUUAGGCCUCUUAGCUAUUAGGAACUGUCAGAUACAUACUAGUAGCUAAUUUUCCUAGCCUGAAAUUAUAUACUGCAUCUGCACUAUGUACCUACUAGGGAUCUGACCUCAAGUGUUUUCUGAGCCCAGGCUUCCUGGUGUGGUGUCUUUUACCACAUAAAAUUAUUACAAAUUGCAAAUGUUGGUAUUGUGAUUUGAUUAUCUGUACAAAGAAAGAAGCUCUAUGCAGUGAGUUUGUGGUUUAAUGGUCACAAAAAUGUUAGCACUGCUACCACUCAGCACGUGUAAAAUUUUUUAAAUUUAUAAAUAUUAAAAUUUUAAACUUACACUAAGACUUUUCAGUUUUAUUUAAAGACCCAGGGAUGAGUGUACUGUUUAAAUAUUUACCUCUAUUAACAUAACUAAUGAAGGUAUAAAAUUGCAUUUAGUUUUUCAGAAGAUGCUGCAAUAUGAUUUUAGGAAAUAAGGCUAUGUAUUGAGCCAGUUAUAGGCUGAAUAUCAGGUUGAUAAAAUUUUAUUUGUAUUUUUAAAAUUCAUAAAUGGGAGUUAAAAUGUGUCUUUUCACUAAAUAUUUUUAUUACAUUUUUGUUUUGACCAUGUGUGAUUUGUUCAUGGGUAUUUAGCUAGACUCUUUUAUGAAAUGCAUUGAAAUGGUGCUAGUUUGUUUACCAUUAUAGGAAGAUUGACACUGGGGACAUUACACGGUCCUAAAAUAAUUUUAAAUUUAAAAAAAUGAAGACAUCUGUACAGAUAAAAAUCAAGAUUUGCAUCACCUUCUGGGAGAACCCGUGGUACUCACAGAAUAUCCAGUAUUAGAAAUAUAAAAAUUUUGUCUAUAUUUUAUAAUAUUUAUCUCAGCCCACAGUCUUAGAAACAGUUUCACAGUUACUAGUUAAGUCAUUAUCUUUGGUGCAUAUUUAGUAAAUACUUUUAGCAAGUCAUUCUUUUUGGCCUUUCAGGGAAAGUGGUGAAUUACCAUAUUACUGUGUGCUAGAUAGAUCCACCCUUUGCCCAGUGUUAAAUCUUGUAAACAUAUGAAGUGAAAAGUUAAUUUUUAAAGAAAAUGCAUCUUUAAAAUGUUCAUUUUUAACCUGAAUUUGCUUUGAAUAUUCUUUGAUUUGUAAUGUUGUUAUUUAGCUUAUAUUGAGAUUUAUUCCACUCCAAAGGUGGAUAAAGAAAAGUUGUUUAAGAAAACCAAUUAGAGUGUAUUUUGAAUUUUUGUUUCUUUCAUUACCAAGUGUGGGGCCAUACACACAGGCUAAUCAUCUGUCAUUUGAGACCCACAGAUGAUUUCAAAGGUCCCAAAUAAAUACACAUCUAUAACUGUUUUUUAAAAGACAUCUUUAAUGGUGCUCUCCAAAAAUACAAUUCGGUUGCUUAUGAGUGAUGCCUUUGACAGGCUGAUUAGAUUAUAAAACAGUUUUGUUUUUUUAAACAUAGGGUCUCAGAUUGAGUCUUGUGCAUUCUAUGUAAUCUCAAAUGGCAGUUCAGUUUGACUUUCUUUUAAAACUAAGUGGAAAUGGUAUAUUUGGUGAAACUAAUGAAAGAAUCUUUUGCUGGGAAAUUCCAUACAGCACCCCCAGCAGCAUCCUGUCUCAGUCUGGCGUAUAAUUCAACCUCCUACUGAGUGUCCCUGUAAAUUAUUUUUAAUAUAUAGCAUGAGAGUGAACUGAGGUAAGUCAUUGAUGUUUCCCAGAGAUGAUGAAUGAACAAAAGCAAAUAGGAUCUGCUAAACAUUUUUAUUCCCACAGUAGUGAGCAGUUUUGUUCUUGUUUUGAUAAUGUUCAUUUCUGCCUAAUCUUAGGCUUCAAAUACACCUUUAAGAAAGCCCAAGAUGUAUUGAGUAGUAGAACUUCUUAUUUGUACACCUGUUUAUAACUGCACUGCCCUGGAUGUUAUGGUUAUUUCUAAGGACUGACCUGGUAAAGCUACUUGAACUGGUAGACUGCAGGGUAGAGGCAGACCUAGAUUCAAUGUCUAACUAAGCUGCUUAGGGCUUACAUUAAUUUCCACAGGUCUGUUAUCCAUAUCAUGAGUUUAUAAGUGUUCCUCCCAAAGAAAAAAUUUAAAAGUGAUGGAUGAAAUAUAAUAGUAGAUGCUCAAUAAAUUCCAUUGUAUUUAAAGAUUAUUUCUGAAAACAGA